CAGUAAACAAAGACUUUAACAAUUAAUAUGGGAGGCACAAAUACUAUCACUAAAAUCAUGGAGGAAGUCCUGGAAUCUAGUCCCUGACCAGUUGGACUGUUGUGGUCUGAGAUUCAAGAUCCUGCUCUGGUUGUUCUGUUGUGAAUUCUCCAGAUUCAGUGACCUUGGGUGGACGCUGAACUAACCAGACGCUGGCAGCUCUUUGUGCCACCACAUGGAAGGAGGAUUCUGUCUUCUAGAUCAGUGUUUACCCAAGUCAGCUCUGUUGCACAGUUUCCUCAAGGUGGACUCAGUUGAUGCUACAAAUGAAGACAAGRCGACAAGACCUUGCUUAGGUGAACCAAACCUGAAAGGAGCAGUAUUGUUACUUCAGAACAUUGCAGAGAACCUCAUUUAUCACACGGCCGUGCUUAGCAAGAAGUUCUGGAAGGGAUCGCCCUGUUAUCCAAAGYCCUAAGUGAAAUAAUGCCCUCCUUCCAGGAGAGCUGUGCUCUAAGGCUCUGCUCUAUUCCUACCACUGGAUUUGCAUGAGAAGGAAGCGUGGAUUAUGGAUCAGUCGUUUUAAGGCAGCCGACCUCCACCAUCUUCU